rnacentral:tRNA from 1 species
UGGGGUAUAGCCAAGAGGCAAGGCAGGGGGUUUUGAUCCCUCUAUCCCAGGUUCGAUUCCUGGUGCCCCAGCCA